GAGCCCGCGAGCGGGCGGCUUGUCGGUCGACGUGGCGGCUGUGUGGUCUUUGAGGCUGAGGGCACAACUACUGAAGUUAUCUGAGGGAACAAUUAAUUCAAGAUUGGACCAAGUAUUGUGAGAUGCCUUCCAAGUUAUAACUUGUAUGGAUAUGUGAGUGGAGCAGGACAUGGCAAGAGUUUCCACCUUCAGUUGAAUGACAGAUAUUGCUCUACCUAUCCCUGACUGUAACUUUCAUAUAUUCAAGUGGCUCGUAGAGAAUCUUGAGUGAAGCCUUGGCCACCAUUUCCAGUUUUCCCCUUUGAUUACAUAAGGAAAAAUUGCCUUCAUGUGUCGUAUAAUUAGAAGAUACUGCUUUAGUCUUUCCCAUGAUGUAUGUAUGUCAUCAAGUAGGUGCAAUUUGUUCUCUUGUGUGUUCUUAAUGAUUUAGAUUUUGCACGAGCUACAGAGACCGAUAUGCUGGAGCUGUUCUAUAAGGCAAUUAUGUUUACACAAAUAGAAGAUGGCUAUCAGCUGUCACAUAUAUUCAAGCUUAGUGUAUAAGUAUAUCUAGAAAAUGGGCAAACUGGAUGGUUGCUUUGUGAUGCUUGGGUUACUACUUACUUUUGAUCAUGCCAUCUAGUUCUAGCUCCAUUGUCCUAUUUAAACUAAUAUAUCCUAGCUAUGGUGGUUCACGUAUCAUA